GAUGAACGCUGGCGGCGUGCCUAACACAUGCAAGUCGAACGUGAGGGGGUAGCAGUAUCCCUGAAAGUGGCGAACGGGUGAGUAACACGUAGGUAACCUGCCGCGCAGAGGGGGAUAACGACUGGAAACGGUCGCUAAUACCGCAUGGUACUGGGAGAACGGGAGUUCUUCUGGUUAAAACCGAGGUGCUGCGCGAGGGGCCUGCGUCCGAUUAGCUAGUUGGUGAGGUAAGAGCUCACCAAGGCGAUGAUCGGUAGCUGGUCUGAGAGGAUGAUCAGCCACACGGGAACUGAGACACGGUCCCGACUCCUACGGGGGGCAGCAGUGAGGAAUAUUGCGCAAUGGACGAAAGUCUGACGCAGCAACGCCGCGUGGAGGAUGAAGGUCUUUGGAUUGUAAACUCCUUUUCUCAGGGAAGAGAUGGGACGGUACCUGAGGAAUAAGUCACGGCUAACUACGUGCCAGCCGCCGCAGUAA
rnacentral:rRNA from 1 species